AGAUGGCAUAUUUUUUCAUUCCAUCAGCCAAAAUGAUAUCUCUGACUGUAAUAUGGUAUUUUACUUCCAUCCAAUAUUUUUUCCUUCUGCUUUCCAUGCCAGCAAAUAAUCUUGCACUGGAAAUCAAAUGCAUGGAAAGCGAAAGACAAGCCCUGUUAUCCUUGAAGCAAAACCUCAUAGAUAGAUAUGAUUUUCUCUCUUCUUGGAGAACACAGGCCAAUCACAAAGCCAAUGAUGAUUGUUGCAAUUGGAGAGGUGUUGGUUGUAGCAACAAUACAGGUGCUGACCAUCAUCAUAUCGUAAGCCUUGAUCUUCAUAAUAAAGGUUUGAUGGGUGAGGUUGGUUCUUCCUUAACUCAAUUAUUGCAUCUCACCUACUUAGAUCUUAGUUAUAAUCAGUUUGAUCAAAUCUUGAUUGAGGAUAUUGGUUCUCUUAUCAAUUUGAAUUACCUCAACUUGUCCUAUAACAAGUUGAGUGGAAGUAUUCCUCAAAGUUUGGGACAAUUAUCCAACUUAGAGUAUUUGAAUCUUCAGUCUAAUUUAUUGGAGGGUGAAGUUUCUGAAGUUCAUUUCUCAAAGCUUAAAAAUUUAAAAGCUUUGGAUCUAUCUGACAACUUGUUGAGAUUAAACUUCAACUCAGCUUGGAUUCCUCCUUUUCAAAUGCAGUCAAUAAGUUUGAGAAAUUGUACAUUGGGCCCAGAUUUUCCCAAAUGGCUUCAAACACAAAAUUUCUCUGUUCUUGAUAUUUCAGAGAACAUAAUUUCAGACGAGAUUCCCAGAUGGUUUUGGAAUAACUUGUCCCCAAACUUAUUGUUUCUUGAUAUUUCCUUCAAUUAUAUCAAGGGGGAAAUCCCAAAUUUGUCCUUGAAAUUCAAAAGGAUGCCUGUAAUCAUUUUGGGAGUGAAUGAAUUUGAAGGUAAAAUUCCAGCCUUUCUUUUUGGAGCACAAAACCUUGACCUUUCAAGAAAUAAAUUUUCUGAUAUAUCAAGUUUGUGUGAAGUCAACGAUUCAUCCCCUUUAUAUCUCUUGGAUACUUGCAGCAACGAAAUGUCUGGCCAACUCCCUAAUUGUUGGAACCAUAUGCUGAAUUUAGCAUCCUUAAGUUUGGCCUAUAAUUAUUUUUCUGGAGACAUUCCACAUUCUUUGAGUAAUCUCACAAGACUCAAAUCUCUAAAUUUGCGAGAAAAUUAUUUCUCUGGGAAGUUUCCUUCUUGGUUUAACUUCACAGAUUUGAUAAUCUUCGAUGCAGUUGACAACAAUUUAUCUGGAAAUUUACCGUCAUGGAUCGGAUCAAGGUUGCCAAAUUUGGUUCGUUUGCUUCUCAAGUCAAAUCACUUUCAUGGAAACUUACCUUCAAGUCUUUGCAACCUCAGAAGGAUUGAAGUGCUGGACAUUUCAUUCAAUUAUAAUAUUUCAGGAAGCAUACCAACUUGCAUCUAUAAUUUUGAUGUCUUGACAAAAAUGUUUAAUCCAUCAACUGUUCCUGAUUACAUAAGAGAUUUGGUCAUGAUGUGGAAAGGCAAAGAGAUGCUAAUUCAUGGUAGAAAUUUACAGCUUCAAAGGAGUAUUGACCUGUCUAGCAAUCGUCUGACAGGAGAUAUUCCAAGCGAAAUCACACAGCUUGUUGGUUUAAUUUCUUUGAAUCUCUCGAGGAAUGAGUUAACAGGUCAAAUUCCUUACAACAUGGGUCAACUUCAAUCGUUGGAUUUUCUGGAUCUAUCAAGAAAUAAUUUGUGUGGUUCAGUUCCAUUUAGUUUGUCUGAAAUGCCCAGAUUGAGUGUGUUGGAUCUGUCCUACAACAACCUUUCAGGAAAUAUUCCUAUUGGAACUCAACUUCAAAGCUUUCCAACUUCUUCCUAUGAAGGCAACCCUUGUCUUUGUGGCGAUCCACUUAAGAAGUGCGAGCUGAGCAUCAACAAUGGUUUUUAUUUUGAGAAUAAUAUCAAUGAAAAUGAAGAGGCUGAUCAAGACAAACUCAUAAUACAAGAUCUGCUUAUUGCCAUUUCAUCUGGAUUUAUAAUUGGCUUUUGGGGAAUCUGUGGCAGUCUUCUACUCUUUAAGAGAUGGAGACAUACCUGCUUCAAGUUUUUAAUAAGUAUAACUGAGAAAGUUAUUUGAAGCAAAGAAAACCAGGCACACUAUGAAGAUGUGUACAUGUUUCAAGCAUGGAAGUUAGUUAUUUGGCUUGCUGUUUCACUCACCUAGUCUAUUCAUCUUGGUUCGGGUUGUGUCAUAGAUUAUUUAAGGAAAAUGUGUUGACGCAAGACGGAAAUGCGAUCCAAAGAAAUUAACGUCCGAGUGCAUUAAGAGAUUGCGACCGCAAGGAUAUGUGAUCGUCUGUACUCGCAAAAAUUUGCUCAAGAAGGUGACCGCAUAGAGCCGACGCAUCAAGGUAAACGCACCUGGGUGAAAGCUUCAUAAAUCACGAUGGGACAGAAAGCUGAUGACGAUCGAUUUCGAAUUAAGUUGACAAGCCGUUAACGACCUACUGUAGCAAGUACACUCAACUUUUCGGUGACAAAUAUUCGACAUAUCAGACAGAGAAUUAAUGUCAUCCUAUCAGUGCAAUCAUAUGAGAGAAAAGGCUCUUUACCUAAAACUCUAUAAAUACCGAAGGCCAUCUUCAUUGAAGAAGUUCGUUCAGUUCGCUUAGUUACAGAAUUCACCAUAUAAAUAGAAGUUAUCCUUAUUCAUAGUUUUUCUUUUACUUAGAAGGCAGAAACGAGUGAAGGGAGAUUACACUGAGAGAUCGUCCCGGUGAACUCGGAAGAGUGUCGGAAGCUUCAAAAUCAGAGAGAGAGCCAACUCUUGCGGAAGUAAGAACAUCUUUUGGGCAGAA